rnacentral:lncRNA from 1 species
AAAAUUUAGAGUUGCUAUGCAUAUCUUUAAGAGGAAAGAUAUUCUCAAAAAAUGUUGUAUCACGAGAUUCCAUAAUAGUACAACAUGCAUAUCAGGGACCUCAGAUUUAACCAGUAAAAAUCUAUAAGCAAUGCUCCUCUAAGCAUAUCCUAGAAGACACAAUCCACUAUCUUGGAUCCUAACUUGCGCUUUUUCGGAAUGUAUAUGGAGUUUGAUCUUUAUUCUUGUUCGGAACUCUAUUCAGGACAUGACAUGAAGUCAAUAGAGCCUCCCCCCACCAUGUCUUAGAUAAAGCA